GUGGGGAAUAUUGCGCAAUGGGCGGAAGCCUGACGCAGCGACGCCGCGUGGGGGAUGACGGCCUUCGGGUUGUAAACCUCUUUCGACCGGGACGAAGAGUGAUUGACGGUACCGGUAGAAGAAGCACCGGCCAACUACGUGCCAGCAGCCGCGGUAACACGUAGGGUGCGAGCGUUGUCCGGAAUUAUUGGGCGUAAAGAGCUCGUAGGCGGUGUGUCGCGUCGGCCGUGAAAACCUGGGGCUUAACUCUGGGCUUGCGGUCGAUACGGGCAUCACUGGAGUUCGGCAGGGGAGACUGGAAUUCCUGGUGUAGCGGUGAAAUGCGCAGAUAUCAGGAGGAACACCGGUGGCGAAGGCGGGUCUCUGGGCCGAUACUGACGCUGAGGAGCGAAAGCGUGGGGAGCGAACAGGAUUAGAAACCCUAGUAGUCC
rnacentral:rRNA from 1 species